rnacentral:lncRNA from 1 species
AAUGUUCUUCUGUCUAAAAACAAAUAUGGCCCUUUUCUGUAAAAUUUUUACGAUUUUAGCUUAUUUUAGCAGGAAAUUCAUCGGGAGAGUUUCAUCUUUCAUUGAGUUGCAAUGCCUUGUGUUAUGAUUGAAAUUUUGUUUGUUUCUCUUCUCUCUGUAUUCUUAGCCUAUUGUAGUUUCACUCUAUUUUGCAGGAUUAUAUCUCCAUGCUGUAUGUAAGACAAAGUUUGCGGUAGACACAUCAAGAGGAGAAAGACUUCGGACAAAUGUAGAAUCCAUUUCUUGUAAUUACUAUUUUUUGACAUCACACAGCUAAACACUAUUGUGUUCCUAAUUUCAGUAAUCUCUCAUUUUCAUUGCCUUACUCUCUUUAAGUAUGUGUUGAACCUUUUCGAUUUUUAUUUCCUUCAUAAGCGUAACAUUUGUUACCCGAUUAUUACAAUUAUGUACCUCGUCUUUGGCUCAUUUAUGACGUUGAAUUUAUAUUUUUUUUUGAAUAAAUCAGUGAAGUUGUAAUUAAAAUAUAAAAACAAUUUAUUUGUUUAUCGGA